ensembl:lncRNA
GGGGAGUGGAGGGUGAAUGGAAAUCAGAGAGAGAAGGAGCGAUUGAAGGGUGGAGGGGAGGAAUGAUAACUACAGAGGAGGCGAGGGGGGAAGAGGAGGAGGAGAAGAAGAGGAGAGCAGGAUUAUGGAGGUUAUGGUAGUAGGUGCCAAGGGCACCAGGUUUGUGUCAAGAACUGCAACGUCGCAACAGUUUCCUGUGUGUAUCAAGAAUGGUCCACCAACCAAAGGACAUCCAGUCAACUUGACACAACUGUAAGAAGCAUUGGAGUCAUUAAUGGUUCUAAGUUGUGUAUCCCCACAAGGGCCAGUGCGUGGAGACGAUGCAGGAUGCCCUAGUGCCCUUAUGAGUAGAGUGGUUGGGUCGUGACGCCCCAGAGUCUGCAACACCAGUAAGCAAGGGGUACCACCAAGCAAGUGGCACCAUGAAGACCAAGGAGCUCUCCAAACAGGUCUUAAUCUCGUCCCUAAUGCAGGCGGGAAAUGUGGCGGGAGAGUUUGGUGUUACGGCUUUCCGACUUUAAUGACUUGCAGUUGGAGGAGCCCUCUGGAGCAUCGCCACUUUAAGUCAUGAGGAUGGGGGGGAUUUAUCUGACUGUGACUGUCACAUGGGAGCACAUGGGAGCACCAUGCUGGGCCUUACUGUAUGAGUAGAGAGUAGAGUAGGACCGGAGUUAGAAAUUAAAAGAUUUUCUAGAUUAGAAACUGUAUUGUCCAUUAAAGGUAAAAAUAUAAUUACUCAUUAACAAAAUAGUGUGUAGCCCACAUAGCAUUACAGUAAAAUUACACACCAAAAGAGUCAGCGGUAAAGGAACAUACGACAAAUCAGGGUAGUGUUCAACAGUAGUAUUUCAGACAGCCAGAUGAUGCCAUAUUGUCCCUGCCUGCUCUUUGACUAUGCAGUGCAUUCCAGGUGAAAGUUUUCCAUAAACACAGACCUAGGGUCAGUUUACUCUCCCCAGAUCCUAGUCUGAACCAUCUGGAGUAAACAAAGCAAUACUGACCACAGAUCAUGACAUCAUCGUCCCUCUCACAUCAGCCCCUUGGGAGGCACACACACACACACACACUUAAGGUAAAAUCUCCCUCCGUUUUAUUCUGUUACCAAAUGUUGUAUCUGCACCGCUCUUCCUGUAAAUGUAAUUUUGUCAAAUGUUCUGUGGAAAUUGUUAAAAGAGUUGUAUGUUUUGUGAAACUUUGAAAUCAGUGUUUUUUAUUUGGUGUACAUUUAAAGUGAAACAUUUUAGUCCUAGCGUAAUUCUGUCACCAUGGAAUUGCCCAUAUGCUACUGCCCAGUCACAGAAAAACUAGAUUAAAACACUGGCUCUAUGAAAAUCAGCUGUAUGUGAGUGUGCGUCUGUUUUCUUUAUGUGUGUGUGUGUGUCUACAGUUCCCUCCCAGCUUUUAAGACUAACAUUGAAAAAGCAGAUUUUUAAAGGUCACAAUACAGCAGGCUCUCUACACGCUUCUCUCUCCAGCUGGUCCUUUGUGUGUCUGUGUGUGUGUACAGAUUGGUAUAAAUAAGCUC